UGCCGGCGUAGGUCAGCUUGUCGAGGACGGUGACGCUGUCGGUGCCGUCGCCGAUACCGGUGCCGGUGCCGGUGCCGGUGCCGGUGCCGGUGAC
rnacentral:tRNA from 1 species